GGUUGGAUCAUUACUGAUACUUGGUUUUUGAGUUGAUACCGAAAGGAGUCCUCAAUACCAAAUUCACCUCUUGUGCACUAUAUUGUCUUUUGGUAGUUUAUACCUUGGUAUAGGCUGCCAAACUUUAUAAACAAACCAUAUCAACUUGUACUGAAAUUAUAUAAAAAUAUAAACAACUUUUGACAACGGAUCUCUUGGCUCUCGCAACGAUGAAGAACGCAGCGAAAUGCGAUACGUAAUGUGAAUUGCUUUCCGUGAAUCAUCGAAUCUUUGAACGCACAUUGCACUCCUCUGGAGUAUGCCUGUUUGAGAAUCUAUAGUAUUAAUUCCUCUGUAAUUUCAUUCGUGAAUGACCAAAGAGAUAUGAAGUUCCCAUCUUUGGAUGGGCUCUUUUAAAUAGAUUGCUACUAGUAAUACGAAAAUGCUUGACAUUUCUCUAUAUCUAUUAGAAAAGUAUGUGUAUGGAACCGUGGUUUCUCAUAAUGCCUAUUAUUUUAGAGGAGAUUUGGAGUUUUCAUAUGAACAGUUUAGUCCAUACCUAUAAAGGCGCAAGCCUUGAACCAUGGUCUCAAAUCAGGUAGGAAGACCCGCUGAACUUAAGCAUAUCAAUAAGCGGAGGAAAAGAAACUAACAAGGAUUCCCCCAGUAACGGCGAGUGAAGCGGGAAUAGCUCAAAUUUGAAAUCUCCUUCGGGCGAAUUGUAGUUUAGAGAAACGUUUUCUGUUGGACGGUAGGUACAAGUUCUUUGGAACAAGACAUCAUAGAGGGUGAAAAUCCCGUCUUUGACCUAUCGAAAGGCUUUGUGAUACGUUUUCCAAGAGUCGGUUUGUUUGGGAAUGCAGACCAAAAUGGGUGGUAAAUACCAUCUAAAGCUAAAUAUUGGCGAGAGACCGAUAGCGAACAAGUACCGUGAGGGAAAGAUGAAAAGAACUUUGAAAAGAGAGUUAAACAGUACGUGAAAUUGUCAAAAGGGAAACGUUUGAAACCAGUAUUGCUUGUAAGAAUUCAGCUUCUAUUUAUAGGAGUGUAUUUUCUUACGGCGAGUCAACAUCAGUUUGGCUUGGAGCAAAAAGCUAUGGAAAUGUAGCCUUCGGGUGUUAUAGUCCAUGGUCAUACUCUAGGCUAGACUGAGGACUGCAGCGUUUUUGGCUUCGGCACACCAACGCUUAGGAUGUUGACGAAAUGGUUUUAAGCGACCCGUCUUGAAACACGGACCAAGGAGUCUAACAUAUAUGCGAGUAUUUGGGUGGUAAACCCUUAUGCGUAAUGAAAGUAAAAAGGUGGGAUCCUUAAGGGUGCACCAUCGACCGCGCCAGAUUAUUACUAUCUCGGCGUGAGUAUGAGCAUACAUGCUGGGACCCGAAAGAUGGUGAACUAUGCCUGAAUAGGGUGAAGCCAGAGGAAACUCUGGUGGAGGCUCGUAGCGGUUCUGACGUGCAAAUCGAUCGUAAAAUUUGGGUAUAGGGGCGAAAGACUAAUCGAACCAUCUAGUAGCUGGUUCCCUC
rnacentral:misc_RNA from 1 species